GGUUUAUUCAACGAAUGCCUGUGGAGCAGUUUCGAGCAGGUGCACCCACCACUAGAAUUUGAACAUCCUAAGAACAGGUAUUUUUGUCUCUGCUUUGCUGAUGUAUCCUCAGCAACCGGAACUGCCUGACAUCUGAUCCUUUCUGUGAGACACCAGGCUGUUGAGGAAGAAUCUAUGGCAACAUUGUAUCUAUUAAUAUACAGCUUCUGUAUUUAUCAGGCCCAGUUCUGGUGAUGAUUUCACUUUUGACAGAAGCUGUCCCUCAAAAGCAAACAUGCAAUAGAAGAAACAGAUCUCAGUAAGUAGCUUAUUUUCCUUACAAACACUACUGAAAUUUCUUAUUAAUGCUCCUAAUUUUCCCAUUAUGCACUGCAGCGUGAGUAUGGCUCCAGAGGCUGCACCUAAUAACUUCCUUGAGCUCUAAUGAUUAUUGGUAUCUUUUACUAAUGUGUAUCUGUUCUAAACUACACAAAAGCAUACAAAGCCAUCUCCCUCUUUUAAAAACUUGAAAAUGUGGGUAUCACCUUUAAUUAAAUAUUUUAAAUUUCUCUCUCCAAAUCAGAUUUAUCUAUGUGUGGGAGUUUAGAUAGUCCCAAGACUUUUGCUAAGACAGUAUUUCCAAUUUAAUCUUAAGUAGAAAAAUGUAUGUAAUUAAGAGAUUUAUUAUAAAACAUUUGGCAAAGAAGGAAAGAAAACAGUAACUAUGUAGGUAGUUUUUAUUAGAU
rnacentral:lncRNA from 1 species